AGGCAGGGACCUCGCUCCUGGGGGGAUCCGAGCCAAGGUGGGUCCAGGCAUCCUUGGAAUCCUGGAACCACUCCUCAGCACAGCCACCCCAACCAGUGCAAUUGGCAUCCCCCAAGACCAGGACAGCUCCGCCCAGCUCACCCCGGAGUCGCCCAUCCCUAGAACGAUGAACUCAGAUAUCAACUCUGGAAGGUCCCUGAUUGACAGAUGGGGAAACUGAGGGCAGCAACCCUCACGAGGUCGUCCCAGCUUGAACCCGAGCUGGUGCCUGGGAGCCCCGGACCCUCACUGUGCUGCCCAACCUGGGACGCCAAGGCCACGUGCUUCCCUGCUGUUAAGAGACGCUCGGCCUCAGCCCACACCCUCCAGCGGCUGCCGCUGUUUAAACAGAAGACGUCAUGGCCAGUGAUAUACGCUGGAUUCCAAAGAUUGUUCCAUCCAGGGGAGAUGGCUCCUGGAGCCGGCUCCAGCUCAGGUAAGCCACCCAGAAUGGCCAGGGUGUGACCCGGCUGACUCUCCCAAGGGCCUGACCCACAGGCGCCCCUUGUGCAGACCGUUUCUUGCCAGUUAUUCUGCGGCAGGGCAAGGCCGUGAGCACAGUCCUGAGAUGCUCAGGAUCCCGGAGGUGAAAGGCGCCAAGCACGUGCCUGGAUGCAUCCCCCACACACAUACAAUGGGACCGGGGAGCCCCAGAGGGGACACGGCUAGUCCAAGACCACAGACCUGGUGAGCCCCAAAGAGUGUCAUCUUUUCAGAUUCCCCUUUGAAGGUCAAGACGCACCAGAAGGGACAUAGGGGGGAAAGGGGGAUGGGGGCUGUCCUUAACGCCACCCCUCCUACUGCCCCAGUGUCACCUCUUCCAAAGGGUCUGCUGCGGUGCCCCACCCCUCACAUGGCUCUCUAGCUUGUCCCACUGCGACAUGAUUUUACAUAUAUCAGCUUACUCAAAUACAUAUUUAUAGAUUUACCAGAACACUGGCUUUCCCCUUAUAUUAGAGCAGAUUCCCAGGAGGUCUGGGACUAUAUUUGUCUGGUUCGCUGUGGUUUCCUGUGCUGAGGACGGACCUUGGGAUAUAACAGGUGCUAAGUUCAUUGUCACCACCACCACCACCACCGUCACCACCACACUGCUAAUAACAGCUAACCCACAUUGAGCACCAACCAGACCCUGUGUCCGGUGUUUUGUGUGGAUUAACACAUUGCACCACCCCUCCAUCCCCACAGAGUGAGACUGUUACCAUCCCAUUUCGCAGGUGAGGACACUAAGGCACAGGGCUUUAGAAACUUGCCCAGAGUCAGACAGUUCACAAAGGUCAAAGCUGAGAUGCCCUUGAAUUGACAGAAAGAGCCCCUGUGCUGAUGAGCCAGCCCCUCUGAGUGGCGUGGGGGCAGCCCUCUGCCCUCACACUUUAUUGCAUCUUUGGGCACCUGACGAAGCAGCUUGCCCUGUAAGAGGAAGAAAGCAGGGCUGGAGGAGGUCUGGCCCCUUGCCUGUAGUCAACACAUGGUGUAACUUCCAUUGACCACACAAUGCUGGUGACGAGAUUUCCCCUGCCGGGGUCUCAGGGGAGAUCCCCUGAGGGCUUAGGGCCUCCUGCCCGGCUGCCCCCACCCCUGCCCCCCAGGCCUUCCUCAGUCUCUCUUGCACACACGUGGUGCUGACCCUGAAUCCUGUAGUCUCCCUCCAGCCCUGACGGACCCCGAUUUCUCUCUGAAGGGAGCGGCCCCCCCUCCUUGGCAGCUAAACCUGCAGGGGCCCCUAGAAGUGGGUUUCCCCCGACAGCCAUCCGCUCCUUCCCUCGCCCGGCAUCGCGCUGUUGACAACCUGUAGCCUCGGGAAUCAGCCGGCGGGACGGAAAAUUGGGAGGCGUCCUGGAGGACGCUUGUAAGAAGGCUAUGACUUCAGAAUUUGGGGGAGGGGGUGGAAGUCAGGCACUCAGCGGGGUCUUCGCAGAGAGAACCUCACUUAAGAUCUGAACAUCCGAACCGAACCGAACGGAAUUUGCUCCCUCCGGCUCAACGGCCUCCCUUUCCCCAUCCGUACACGGCGGCCGCCUUUCUACCACCACGCGGCGCCCUGCCCAUGCCAGCCCCCCGGGUGUGGGGGCUGCACUGCAUGACUUCAUAUUGGUGCCUUUAAAUCUCAAAUGAUUCCAAGGACCCCUCAAGUAUUUGGACCAGAAAUGCAUGGUGAAGGUGUGUGGCGAGGUUUUAAAAACCAGUCCACUCUGGGGCCUUUGCUUCAGGAUUUCUGGGCAGACCGCCAGCUUCUCUUUCCAAUUAAACGCCCCAUUUGGCUGGCGGGUGGGCCCCUGCGCUGGAAGGGGGAGAUGGCUGCUACCCCCGCUGUCUGGAUGCAAUCUGGGGACAGAUUUCAUAAGUCGGGGGAAGGAAUGCACCUGAGAUCCCAUCGCAGCAGAAGUGUCCCCUCAGCAGCUCCCCGUAAAGGAGGAGAAUCUGUGUGUCCAGAUCCAGGAAGGACACGCUGGGUGAAGAGCGGGGUGAGGGGCCUAGGGAAGGGGGGACAAGGGUGACAACAGCUUCAGCCUAGGAGGGCAAGGGGAGCAUGGACCCCUCACUCAAGGCACCUCUCCACGGGCUGCUCUGGGUGACGUUUGGACCAAGACUAUAAUGCAUCCAUCAGAACAAAUAAUGCCGUGCAGAGCUCACGGCAGGCAAACUCUCCCUAUGUGAUCAGCACGGUGGCACAAGGACCCUAGGACGUAGAUGGGGAACCUGAGGUUCAGGAAGUUGAGUCGACAAGGUCGCAGGCUGGCUGGAGCCAGGGCUGGAUCCAAGCUGGAGAGAGAAGCCUCCCCCGGCCUUCAUCAGCUUUGGACCCCAUGGCCUCUACCAUGAAGGCCCUGGGGCCAGCCAGGGAAGAAGGCUGUGGAGCACGUGGGCGCACAUACGCGUGCAAAUGCACGUGGACUUUUGCACAUACGUGUACACGUUGGGAGGAGCCUGUAAAGAAAAAAAGAAAAAAACGUAAUGAAAUGACUCUGAGCAAAGCCAGGUGCCCAGAAAGGAAGCAGAAGGAAGAUGAAAGGCAAGAACGCAACCCCCGCCCGCCUCUAGAAACUUCCAACAGGAGGAGGCCUCCUGCUGGCUCCCAUUUGUGGACGCAAGGCCACCGGAGCUGCCACUGCCAUGCUGGGACUGCGUGGCUGAGGGGACACGUCCAGGGGGAGGCCGGUGACCCCAAGGCGGCUAUCUCAGCCUGCGAUCUCAUCACCAGAUGGGCCCUCUCUCGCACGCUCCCUAAAAAGCCGGAAAUCCAUCUGCAAGGCAGGACAAAUGGCCACCCCUGCUUCUUCCAUCUGCCAGGACAUGUGAACGCGGGCGCUGUGGCAGCGCCGGCUGAGGGAUUCUGGGUAUUUACAGCCAGCGAUCUCUUAUCAGCUGUGCCAUCGAGCCGUGAUGGGCUAGGCUGACCCUGCAUCUAUCCGAAUGUGCUGAUCCUUUGAGACUUGUCUAACCCUUUAAUGCAAGGCGACAGCAAUACUGUUGCCUGUCAGGCCCAAAGACACCACUGCCUGUUUUGCAAAGGACGCGUGCCCGACUUCCCGGCAAAUUGAAGACAACUGGGAAACGUCCACCUAUCCAUUCACAGGCCAAGGGCGCUGCGGGCUUCACCGUCCACUGGGAUUUCACCUCCAAGGCCCCACCUCAGAUCAGAAGCUAUUAGGACGACCGGCCCAUCAGCAGCGGGGAGACAGCACAAGGUGGAGGAGCAGAAUUGCUCUUCUUGUCCCCGUUUGCUACUAAAGUGCUGUGUGACAUUGGCUAAGUCGCUUGCCCUCUCUGUUUCCCAUUUUGUUCGGCUGCACAACCAGCUCUUUGGUGCUGGGAUUUGGAGUUUAAACCUCUUCAGCCGGGUCUUCCAAACCCCUGACAACGCUCAGGCUUCUUCUCCCUCCCCCUGUGCCCCACGUUGCCCUGAAGGCCUUGCGGGUCCCAAACAGUGCCCCCAGCCAGCCCCUUGUCCUCCAUCCGCUACCCUGCUCCGAUCGCAGCUGAGAGAGGACCACCGGCCAGUUCCUCCUUCGCGGUGCAUCCCCAUUUUGCAGGUGGGAGGACGGUGGCUCAGGGAAGCAACGUGAGAAAGUGGUGAAGCCAACGUGAGCCCCGGACUCUGCUCUGCUGCAGACCCUGAGGGUCUCCUGAGUGGAGGGAGAGACCCCGGAGGCAGAGGCACGGCCAAGACAGCACCUUGGCCCUGGACGGCGGCGGAACACCAGCAGCACCUCGGCGGAGACCUCUGCACCCUGAGACUCGAAGAGGAGGUUCCAACCUGCAGGGAACAGCAUGGGCCCUUUCCAGGUGGAGACACAAGAGUGCAAGCUCCCAGGAGGAGGUCGGCCCCGAACCCCCAUCAUGACCUGGUCUCCAAGUGCCCCCCAACCCCCACCUCUAACAACUCCUGCCCCCACCCGGGGCAGCGCUGUAUGGCUAAAAGCAUCGUGUCCCUCUGUCUGUCUUUCCCUCUGUCUGUCCCUCUGUCUGUCUCUUUUUAGGGCUACACCUGCAGCAUAUGGAAGUUCACAGGCUAGGGGUUGAAUCAGAGCUACAGCUGCCGGUCUACACCACAGCAUGUGACAAUGCCAGAUCCUUAACCCACUGGAUGAGGCCAAGGAUCAAAUCUGCAUCCUCACAGAGACAAUAUCAGGUCCUUAACCCACUGAGCCACAGUACUCCCAAAGUGGCCCAAUUUUUGUCUCUUAGUUUUUUAUUUUAUUUUAUUUUAUUUUAUUUUAUUUUAUUUUAUUUUAUUUUAUUUUAUCUUUUUUAGGACUGCACCCACAGCACAUGGAAGUUCCCAGGCUAGGGGUCAAGAUGGAGCUGCAGCUGCCAGCUUACACCACACCCACAGCAAUGCCAGAUCCGAGCCGCAUCUGUGAGCUACAUGGAAGCUCAUGUCAAGGCCGGAUCCCCAACCCACUGAGUGAGGCCAGGGAUAGAACCCAUGUCCUCGUGGAUACUAGUUGGGCUCAUUACUGCUGAGCCACAGCAGGAACUCCUGCCUCUCUUUUAAACCUGAGUUUUCUAUAAAAGACUCCAUUCAAGGAAAAAUUUCUAUAGUACAUCAAUUUAAAUUAUUUUUCUUUAUGUUGGCAAACAACAGUCAAUUUACAAACGUGCCAACUUGCCAUAGUAACAGCAAAGUUUCUCAUAAUGGGUUUGCGGGGGGGCUCCUAAAAAGGCCAAGAGAAUACCUACCUUCCAGUCUCCGGCGGCAGCCCCCACAGCCUGGGGGCGGCUGGGCAGCUACACAGGUCACCAUGGAUACGCACUCUCCUUGACCACACCCCAUCCACCCAGUUUAAUGCGCACCUGCUAUGUGCCAGGCGCUGAGCAGGACGGAGACAGCCCUCCCACACGCCUCCCAUCUUCCCAGGCCGUGCUGGGAGCAUCACCACCCCCCGAGAUGCCUCUGACAUCCGGCAUCAGGUCCUGCGGCAGCCGGGGCACUGACUCCUCCAGCAGGACCAGAGCGCAGCCGCUAUCACUGGCCUGUUGUCUCCUUUCCACCUGCCCGUCCUACCGCUCCCUCCCAAAUUCUCCCGGUUCAUCUUCAGAGCCGGACUGCGUUCCUUAUCAGGGCCUCCCAAGGGAAGUCUGCUCGUGCGAGCAUCAGUGAUCUUGCUGAGCCAAGGUGGGCGGUUUCCAGCAAAAGUCCCCCCACACCUGUGCACCCCCACCACCAUCGUCCAAAACUGGACUUGCCUCUUGGGUGAUUUUCCACCGGACUGGAGCACCACCUACGAGGGCAGUGAGCACAGAUGCGGUCGCUGCCUGUCCCCGUGCCUUGCACAGCCCAGGCAUCUUCAGCCAAUCCUUGUUCAAUGAAUAAAAGAGAACGCUUUGUA
rnacentral:lncRNA from 1 species